UACGUAGGGGGCAAGCGUUGUCCGGAUUUAUUGGGCGUAAAGGGCGUGUAGGCGGCCAGGUAGGUCCGUUGUGAAAACUCGAGGCUCAACCUCGAGACGCCGAUGGAAACCAUCUGGCUAGAGUCCGGAAGAGGAGAGUGGAAUUCCCGGUGUAGCGGUGAAAUGCGCAGAUAUCGGGAAGAACACCCGUGGCUAAGGCGGCUCACUGGCCCGAUACUGACGCUGAGGCACGAAAGCGUGGGGAGCAAACAGG
rnacentral:rRNA from 1 species